ACACAGUACCGCAGCCCUGCCCCAGCGAUCCCGCGGGCAGGAAGACCGGGUAGGAGCCCCAGCCCCAGGAGGAGGAGCCUGUCUGGAUGGACGCAGCCUGAACUGACCCACAAACAGACCAAAAAAGUCACUCUCAAAGAGCUCUCUGUAGGCACACAGACCCCAGCUUUACAAGGACCCCAGCUCCUUAACACAGAUCCCAGCUCCGAGGAAACUCGUCCCCCCACAUUAAUCCUGACCGACUUUGCCACAUGGAGCCAGCAAACCAUUUCUGGUGAGAGCCAAACACACCUUCUGCACCCCUGAACUCCUGUCCCCCACUCAGUGUGUCCAGAAAGCCAU